rnacentral:lncRNA from 1 species
GUCCCUUUAACUAUAUUCAUUGUCAGCCAGUCCACACAAGUUUUGUUCCCAUACAUCCCUCUUAAGUUUCCAUACCUAAGUAAGAGUAUGUGAAAAGUAGUUAGGGUUGCCACCUUUCUUGGAAAAACAUACCUGCCUUGCUAAUUUGCAUAAUUAAAUAUGUAUGGGUGACAUCACAUGAUUUAAAUCACAAGGAGUGAUAUAAGAGAAAAUGCUGUAAAAUCACCAAAAAACAACUUAGUUUGAUUCUGC